UCAACCGAAUAUUCAGCUAAGACAUCAGGAUGCAAAAAAUGCUUGGUAGCACGCAGAGCAUCAUGGAAUUGCUCAGGGAAGCACACCUCUGGUACCAGCCUGUACCUACAAAGGAAGAAAAGAGGUAACUUCUGCAAGUGACUGGAGUGGUUCCUGAAGGGAGCAGGCCAGACAGAGCGACUGGUACCCACCUCUACCAGCUUCCUUCAUCAUGCUGCCCAUAUAUCCUGUAAGCAGCAGCAUGCAUUCCCAGAUGGUGCAAAAGGGGCUGCAAAGGGUCUGCCAAAGGAUUGCUGGGACUACAGUGUUGAGAAUGGCCAUUAAAAAAGAAGUAGGGGUCUUUCCCCCAUUUGCAAAGUUAAUCUCUACGCUGCUGAGGAAGGCUAGAAAUUGGGCAACCAGUGGACCACCCUUUCCAAGGAUCAAAAGGGUGGUUGGAGACCACCCUUUCCAGGAAUCACAGGACACCCAGGAAGAGAUGCCUUGUACAGCAGCGCACAAAAGGAACAGAAAUAGUAUUUGUUAGAUCCAGGCAAUUUUUUUGCCAAGCACAUAUCAACCAGAUUCUUUGGAAAUACAUCUAACUUGUGUACCUUGUCAUUUAUUAGGCAUCAGGAUUUCACUCUCCACUGGUAAAGAGUCAGUCUUGUCCAAAGGUUUUGGAAGCAAAAUCACUACUGUGCCCUGUUAUCCCACUACUGGCAGCAGAGGAUGUGUUUAAUGCUUGGCUCAAGCUCACCUGGGAUGGCGUUGCCACCCAAGGGGCAGGCCUGCCUGAGCUCUGCCGCUGACCGCGCUCCCCUGACACCUCUCUUUUGUUGGCACUAACGAACACGAAGCCUCGGAGUAUCAGCUCCCCGAGUCAGCUGAAUAUGAACUCAGCAAAAACACAGAAAAACAAACUUCAGCCAGCUCACUGUGCUGCUGAUGACUCAGGGAAGGGAAGAGGGAGCAAGCAAAAGCCUUUUGGCAGCAGUCCACAGCUGGGAUGGAUUAAGUCAAUCAUAAAAAUUGUAUCCAGACAUGACAUGCAAGCAACAACUGCUUUGAUCUUUGCAGGUUGAAAGACCUCAGCUGCCCACGGAGCGAGAUGGAGCAGGAUGAGCCGGAGGACCCCGGCAGAGGAAGACUAGCCAGGAGCGAGGCAAAUGUGACCACCUUUGAUCAUCAGCAUCUGUCCCUAAACUGUCAGGAUUCUUCUAUCGGCUCCUCAGCUGAAACUACAAUGCAGAAACAACAUGGAUUCCAUUAAAGCAGAACUUGUUCCAAACCUAGAAGAAAUGUGUUCUUUGGCUCAGGAUGUGAGAGAGCCUGAAGACCAAGCUGACGAGUGUGCAGCCGAAGAGGAGGAUGGGAAAAAGUCAGUGAACGUUGGACAGAAGGUUCUAUUUUGACUAUCGCUGUUGCAAUUACUGUGCAAAAUGCAGUAUUUAUAUGACUGUAUAAUAAUUGGCUGAUGCAAGUGUCAAAAUUGAAAUGACCUCCUUGAUUUCCAGGCUAUUCUGGAAUCUUUUCCUCAAGAAAGUAAUCCCAAUUUAUAUGUACCUCACCAAGCAAAUCUUUAGUCACAUAAACAGUAUCAGCUAUCAUCUUGAUCUGCUUUUUCCUAUUUCUGUUUUUCUUACAAAUCACGAAAAGUCAAUAGACUCUUACUGACACUAAGGGGUGCUGGAUCAGUCAUGAAAAUACGUGUACUAGUUAAAAUUUGUAAUAGAAAAUUUAGUAAUACCCAGUAACUUAAUUUGGCAUGUAAGACUUUAGCAUGUAAUAGAAAGUAGUGCAAAAUUACUCUUUAUAUCACUCAUAUUCUUUUUACAUUGAUUCAGUGAGGCAUUACACUAAAUCAGAUUUCAGAGAUGCUGAGUACCUGCCAGGGGAUUCUUUUCCAGAUCUGAAAGUUUUAGUGUUAGAUAAAAUUAAAGAGAAGAGACCAGAGAAAGCAUUUGGUGUAAUUAAUUUGUUGUGGGGGUUGGUGUCAUUGAGUCAGCUGGUUGACUUUCAUGUCAACCUGUUACAUUUUCAUGCAUCAGCUCUCUCCCCCCUUGUUUGCUUUUAAUUAAUUAUUCUGAGGCUCAGCGUGA